AAGUCGUAACAAGGUUUCCGUAGGUGAACCUGCGGAAGGAUCAUUAAUUAAACGCGAAUUGUCGGGUGUCCACCACCCCUUCUGGGGGUGGAGAUCUGCGCCCCGACGUCCUUUUGAUUAUAUCCCAUCUGUGAACUUUUCCACUGUUGCUUCCGUGAGCCUGUGCUUUGCUCUCUCUUUUGAGAGUUGGAGUACCUGAAAAGCUCUGGCUCUGCCAGGGGCGCACGGCAAUGGUACCACAACUCUGGUUUUAUGUUGUUCAAGUCUGAGUGGUUAACACACAAACAAGUUAAAA
rnacentral:misc_RNA from 1 species